rnacentral:misc_RNA from 1 species
GUGCACCAUAUACCACUUCAUGUAGUUGGGAAGUCAAAUCAAUGGGCUUCAAAAGGAUACCUUUACAAGGGCAACACUACAUGCUGCUGCAGGAAAGGUCAUACCGGUCAGAAUGCUGUACAGAGGUGGUUAGCUUGUAUGUUAGGAGAACAUUCUUGAUCGAUUGUUCUGGCUGGGCUGCAUAUUCUGCUUCUCUUUGGCUCUGAUAUCUUCAUGUGUGAAACAGCAACCGUGAGAGCAUCGAUAAAACCAGAGUCUUCACCUUCAGGCAUCUUAGACGAACUACCAGAUGUAAAAGUUGAACCAAAGUCAUCACUGAGAGAGCUGAAGGCUAAGUUUCUUCUCUCUCGCUCUAUCCUAGUAGUAGCAGUUAGCUGGCUUCUAAUUGGCUUUGC